GGCUUACCAUGCAGUCGAGGGGUAACAGAUCUUCGGAUGCUGACGACCGGCGAACGGGUGAGUAACACGUAUGCAACUUGCCCAUAACUCGGGAAUAGCCCAAAGAAAUUUGGAUUAAUACCCAAUAAUACAGGCGUACCGCAUGGUAUUCUUCGUUAAAGAAUAAUCGGUUAUGGAUAGGCAUGCGUUCUAUUAGGUAGUUGGUGAGGUAACGGCUCACCAAGCCGACGAUGGAUAGGGGAACUGAGAGGUUGUCCCCCCACACUGGUACUGAGACACGGACCAGACUCCUACGGGAGGCAGCAGUGAGGAAUAUUGGUCAAUGGACGAAAGUCUGAACCAGCCAAAUCGCGUGAAGGAAGAAGGUAUUAUGUAUCGUAAACUUCUUUUGUAAGAGAGUAAAGUGCACUACGUGUAGUGUAUUGCAAGUACCUUACGAAUAAGCAUCGGCUAAUUCCGUGCCAGCAGCCGCGGUAAUACGGAAGAUGCAAGUGUUAUCCGGAUUUAUUGGGUUUAAAGGGUGCGUAGGUGGUCUAAUAAGUCAGUGGUGAAAUCUCUUUGCUUAACAAGGAAAUUGCCAUUGAAACUGUUAGACUUGAGAAUGGACGAGGUAGGCGGAAUUCGUAGUGUAGCGGUGAAAUGCAUAGAUAUUACGAAGAACUCCAAUAGUGUAGACUGCUUACCAGACCCAUAUCUGACACUAAGGCACGAAAGUGUGGGUAUCAAACAGGAUUAGAUACCCUGGUAUCCACACAGUAAACGAUGAAUACUAACUGUUUGCGAUAUACAGCAGUGGUCGAGCGAAAGCGUUAAGUAUUCCACCUGGGAAGUAUGCCGGCACGGUGAAACUCAAAGGAAUUGACGGGGGCCCGCACAACCGGAGGAACAUGUGGUUUUAUUUCGAUAAUACGCGAGGAACCUUACCAGGGCUCGACGAUAUUUGAUACUCCGAAAGAUGUAGCUAGCAAUAGCAAAUACCCAGGUGCUGCAUGUUGUCGU
rnacentral:rRNA from 1 species